rnacentral:lncRNA from 1 species
GCAAAUUGAGAAUGUGUUACUACGUUACCCCAAGAAAGGAACAAAACUGCACUAAAACACAACACAAAAAAAGCAAAUUUUAAUCAGUUGAACCAGAAGAUAAUCGAUGAAAGACUAAACAAAGUUUAAACGGUAAGCAUAAAAAAAUACCACGCACCUGGAAUGCCGCAAGAGAGAAAAGGAGAGGAGGCAAACGAUAAAGAUAUCAGAAACAAUAAUGGAAUGCCGCAAGAGAGAAAAAGAAGAUGUGCUGCAAGCGAGAAAAAGAAGAGGUGCCGCAAGAGAAAAAGGAGAAGAGGAAGACGAUAUCAGAAACUGAAUGCCGCGAAGAGUUUGCGGUUUAUUUAAAAUGAAAUUGGGCGUCGGUUGCUCCAGAAACCGACAUCUAUAGUUACCUAGACGUCGGUUAUCUCAUUAAUAUGACGUCCAAGUUAACAUUUAAACUAACUUUUUUAAUACCCAUUAGACGUCGGCGUCGAGGGGAGCCGACGUCUAGGAAGCUGAACCGAUUGACGUUUGAUUUCCUAUCAGGGAUGUUCACGACAGUUGUGAUGGGGAGUGAUAACGGUUGAAAAACAUUUAUUUUCAGAUGUCAAUUUAGACCAAAUUACACCCUUUAAGACUUAGAACGAGCUUAAAAUCAAGUAAAACUCAAUAAAUGAGUCAGUCGAGAGUCAAAAGCUGUUUUUAGCGAUAUUAUGCUUGUUUUGCAUUGUUUUGUAGUGAUUUUGAUGAAAGUGAAGAUUGGGGUUGAAGAUGAAGGUCUUAGACACAAGAUAGAGGAAGAAAAUUGAAGAAAAGAAGAGUCAAGAAACCGCCCGGCGGCAAAAUUCACCGCUGGGUGGUCCAAGGCGAGGAGAAGGCAACUGGCGUGGGCGUUGGGUGGAUUUGCGAUUAGAGGCAAACCGCCGGGCGGUGGUGCUAUUAGGGGCAAACCGCCGGGCGACAUAAGUGUGCCGCUGGGCGGUUGUCCGUUGGGCCUGGGCCUGUUUUCUAUGACGCUCCUCAGCUAUAAAUAGCCCUGUUACGAUUUCAUUCUCAUUCUUUUGACUGAAGAGGGUGGCUAGACCUAAUUUUCACUCUCUGGAGAGGAUCUCUUGGAUGCUUAGGCUCCUUUUCAUCUUAUCUAAGGUUUUCUUUUCCAUUCUUCCAUUAUUUUCAUCUAAGUUCACCAUGACAAUGGUGAACUAAACCCUUUUGUUGUUGGGGGAAACAAUGUAAUCUUUUGAAACUCUCUUUUAUUGAAACUCUUGUUUAUUUAUAUGAUUCUUCAUAUGCUUGGAUUAUCAAUUGUUGGGUUCUCAUAUGCUCUUAAUGCUUUUGUCGUUUAACUCAUUCGAUAAUUGUUGUUUGUCUCUAUUGAUACGAGAACGUACAGUACUGUCAUGAACUGGUGAGAAAUUCCUUGAUUAAGCAAUACCAACCUAGGGAUAAGGGGCAAGACGAUCAAUUGUUUUUGCUUCUGUUCUUAAUGCAUUAUUAAUUGCUAGGGGAGGCUAGGGAUAACAAGCCGGUAAUUAGUAAUAGGCUCUUUUUGCCGAGGGAUCGGGUUAAGGGUAGGCCAAGAAAGUUUGCAUAACAAUUAGAUAAUCAAGCACAUUAAACAAGAGGAGUAGAUAAGAGGGAGUGAAUAAGAUGAAAUUGUCAACCCUCAACAACUCCAUUCAUCCAUAGUCUUUUUCGUCAAUUGAAUUCUUUCAUAGCCGGUAAUUUCUGUCUUUGCAUUCACAAUAAUUAAUU